AAACUUAAUAUUUACAACUUUCAACAACGGAUCUCUUGGUUCUGGCAUCGAUGAAGAACGCAGCGAAAUGCGAUAAGUAGUGUGAAUUGCAGAAUUCAGUGAAUCAUCGAAUCUUUGAACGCACAUUGCGCCCCUUGGUAUUCCAUGGGGCAUGCCUGUUCG
rnacentral:rRNA from 1 species